rnacentral:rRNA from 1 species
CCUACGGGUGGCAGCAGUGGGGAAUAUUGCGCAAUGGGCGAAAGCCUGACGCAGCGACGCAGCGUGCGGGAUGAAGGUCUUCGGAUCGUAAACCUCUGUCAGCAGGGAAGAACGGUCACUGUGCUAAUCAGCAGUGAAUUGACGGUACCUGCUAAGGAAGCACUGGCUAACUCAGUGCCAGCAGCCGCGGUAAUACGGAGGGUGCGAGCGUUAAUCGGAAUUACUGGGCGUAAAGCGCUCGUAGGCGGUUUGUCAAGUCAAGGGUGAAAUCCCCGCGCUCAACGUGGGGACCGCCUUUGAUACUAGCAAACUAGAGUUUGUUAGAGGAGAGUGGAAUUCCAGGUGAAGGAGUGAAAUGCGUAGAUAUAUGGAGGAACAUCAGAGGCGAAGGCGACUAUCUGGCACAAUACUGACGCUGAGGAGCGAAAGCGUGGGUAGCAAACAGGAUUAGAUACCCGUGUAGUC